CCGGUGAAUCUAGUAGCGAACAAAGGUGGGCCACGGAAAUGCCUUGUGGGAGCACUUGAUUUGCGAAGCCGAAAUUUACCACUGGUAGCCAGGUUCUGUUAGCCGUGAUGCUGAGAACCGUAUAGGGAACAACAACACAAUGCGUGAGCAGCAAAUCGGGAAGAGGCGCAGCGUAGUAGUCACCGUCUGGCACAGCUGGUGAGCACAACAUAUCGACGUACGUAACAGAUUGCUGGGGCAGAUGAAUAAAGUCGCUGCAAUGUAAUCGGCAAGUAGGUUGGGACGGGGGGUCACUGAGUUGUGGCAGUUCAAGGCGCAGCACACCGGCGGAGCAAUCAAUAAGCGCAGAGUUGGUUGCCAGAAAAUCCAGCCCAAGUAUGAGGUCGUGGGGACAUGUGGCAAGGACAGUAAACAGGACGACCACCUGA
rnacentral:lncRNA from 1 species